rnacentral:tRNA from 1 species
GAGGGUAUAGCUCAGUGGUAGAGCACAUGCUUAGCAUGCACAAGGUCCUGGGUUCAAUCCCCAGUACUUCG